AUUGAACGCUGGCGGCAGGCUUAACACAUGCAAGUCGAGCGGGGGAAGGUAGCUUGCUACCGGACCUAGCGGCGGACGGGUGAGUAAUGCUUAGGAAUCUGCCUAUUAGUGGGGGACAACAUCUCGAAAGGGAUGCUAAUACCGCAUACGUCCUACGGGAGAAAGCAGGGGAUCUUCGGACCUUGCGCUAAUAGAUGAGCCUAAGUCGGAUUAGCUAGUUGGUGGGGUAAAGGCCCACCAAGGCGACGAUCUGUAGCGGGUCUGAGAGGAUGAUCCGCCACAGUGGGGCUGAGACACGGCCCAGACUCCUACGGGAGGCAGCAGUGGGGAAUAUUGGACAAGGGGGGAACCCUGAUCCAGCCAUGCCGCGUGUGUGAAGAAGGCCUUAUGGUUGUAAAGCACUUUAAGCGAGGAGGAGGCUACUCUAGUUAAUACCUAGGGAUAGUGGACGUUACUCGCAGAAUAAGCACCGGCUAACUCUGUGCCAGCAGCCGCGGUAA
rnacentral:rRNA from 1 species